rnacentral:lncRNA from 1 species
UUUUCCCCAUGCCAUAUUUUAGGCAGAGAGCAUACCUGAACACCUGCUGAAGUCAUCUACCUUAUCUUUUCUAACCACCUUGGGUUUCUGCAUAAAGAGUCCUUGAUUGAGGAACAAAUCUUGAAAUGGAAGAAAAUUUUCCAGUGAUAUUUUGGGAACUCAUCAAGAUUUUUUCCAGGCUAUCCAAGCUUCUAGAAGAAUAGAAUUUGGCAAAAAAAUAUACAGGCAGAAAAUUGCACCAUUUCCAUUUUUUUCCCACACAAAUUUUGGCCAUGAGCGAGCUACUUUAUGUUCCCCAAACAAGAAUAUUGAGUUUUUAACAACCGAUCUGUCAUUUUACACAUCUAUUUGCGAAAUUCCAUAACGAAAAGUACUUGUAAAUUCCAUAGGCACAGUAGGCAUUGGAAUCCCUAGCUUAAUAUCGCAGGCCAUGCUUAUGACUUGCCAAUAACCUGUUCCCCUACCCCAUGAACUAAUUCAUUGCUUUGAUUGAGUUUUUAUCACUUGAUUGAGUUUUUAUCACUAAAUAAAGAAUCAUAGAAUGUCCAGUGACUUCGAUACUAUAUGAACUCCUCGUCAUAAUGCUGAAGCCCAUGUGAUCAAUCCGCAUGCUCUCAAAACUGGCCAGAACUCUUAACGUAGUAUUUGGAAUCAACUGGCUCCGUCGAAGGGAUCUGUUGAUUUGGGUUCCAAAUAUAAGCCAGGCGAGCAAAACAGAUCGGCAUCCUACCCCACCUUAGAAUUAGUCUGACAACCAAUCUAUUGAAGUUCAGUCUAUUUUUCAACCAGUUAAACCCACAUCCACCACUGUUGAAUACUUGGCAUCUCAUUAAAGUUCUCAAUAUUCUUUACUACAAGUGAUCAGAAACUGAGUUUUGCAUCAGGUUGGUAAACUUGAUGAAUUGGCUACACAGCUGAUAGGAAGUGAAGACCAUUGACCUCCUAGUACUUUAUCACACAAGAGAUCUAUAUGAUUAUCAGGAUAGAUGAGAAUGAAACAUGAGUUUAAUCUUAGAUAAGAUCGAAACUGACCACCGUGGGUUGCUCGGGCCCAAAAUCGAUCAUAAGCAAGCAUUUGUCAGUACACACCAUUCUAGUUAGUAAGAAUUGAGCACAUCCUCAGAUAUUGAUCUAACAUUUAGUUCUGCAUAAAUCAACAAACAAAAUAAAUAAAAAUUCAAGAGCAUUUCUUCUUAUAUUAAACUUAUGCAUUGUUUAUGCAACCUUUCCACCUUCCUCUUUGGAUUUAUAAAUUCAGGAGUCUUGCCCAAUAAAUGUAAUAACUGUUGAAGAUAAUGAUGCAAAAUAAUAGGAAUAUAUGGGUAGUUAUCUCUACGUGUAUGGGUAGUUAUGUCUCUCUCUCCGAUAGUAUGUGUCCUUUUAAAAAUCAACAGUGGUCUCAGAGCAUUAAAACUUGCAACAUGGUAUCAAAGCCUUAUCAAUAACUCUCACCUUAACAUAUUAAUUUUAUAAAAUCAAUCAGAAUCCUUCAAUUUCUUCUACUAAAAUAUCAUAGAACUGAUAUAAUGUGUUGAUUAAAAUGCUAUGUUCACCUUCUACUUUAUAUUUGCAUAAAAUCGUGAUGUUGCGUUCUUUUAUGAAACGAUCAUCCCACUUGUUAAAUCGAUCAAGGACACAGAUGUUUCGCUUUCAACCUUUAUUCUAUAUAAAUCACCCCAUUGACAUUUGUGUGGCUUGCAUAAUCUCAAUUCCACCUAUGUAUGCAUGAUUUUGGGAUCCUGUAGAAACUUUAUUUCAAAUUGAAAUUGGAAUUGCUAGCUUCUCCCCUCUUCAAUUGAUUCAAUUGGAUCAAUUGAUAAAUAGAAUAAUAUCAAAGUCUCAAAGGAGAUUUACUUUCAAGUGGUAUAAAUUGACUUUAGGAGACGGUUUUUGAGGCAAGGUUUAUGAUCAUGACAAAGAGCCUCGAGGAACCCAUUCUAGUCAUCUGCUUUCUCCAAUGCACCAAUAAAAUAGCUGCAAUCUAAUCCUUUUUAUAGACCAAGAUGUAUGAGAACAUGGAACAAUUUCAAUUCUUUCAAAAUUUGUGGACAAGAGCCGAUCACAUCAAACCUUUACUUGAGCCUAUCUUCAUUUCCUAAAAUAAAUCAAUGCAUUAGGUGGUAAUAGUUUCUCCAUGUAUACCAUGAUUAUGGGUGUUCAUCAAGGCAGUUACUUUCUCAUAAUAUAGGGGUUUGCAUAUUUUCUUACUGGACCAUCAAUGUAUCUGUCAUGCCAUAAACUAGGUAUCACCUAUCAUCAAUACGUCUAGCAUGGCUUCCAUAAAUGCAGCCAAAUGCAAAAGGAUUAGAAGCUAUUUCAUGAUGGGGACUAAACCUAUGGUAGCUCUUCUUCAAUCUAGAAAUUUAGUAUAUAUUUGGACUACACUGUAAAGCACUUUAAAGGUUCUCACGGAUUUCCCAAUUGAUCAUGUCAUCAUCAAGCACAGUUUACAGUAUACCUACCAUCUACUAGUUUUCACCCAAAAAUAUUUUCUACAGUUUACAAAACUUUAACCAUCAUGAUUUAUUACUAUGACAUCUGCUACAUUAUCAAUCUAAUUAUUCCAGAUGAGAAGUAUUACGUCUGACUGAAAGUUUGUAUUUCAAUGUUAAUUUCCUUAUUGCUAAUGAUUCAUUGGAAAGUGAAAUACUUUCGUAACGAAAUCUUCAGAUGGCAUGGAUAAAGAAAAUGCCACUAUUUGUGACUAAUAAGGAAAUCAAUUCAAUGACUUGCUUCUACUGGAACACUUGAAUAUUUUUGCUUUUCCCAUUUUGUUCCUCAGUGUAUGAGAAGCACAAUAUCCUUUUAGCAAGAUGCAGACAACAUAUAUUAUCUUUGAAUAAAAUCCAAAGCCCACAAUCUCAACCAUCAACCAGCAGCCAAAUUGGCGAUCAAAAUAUUCAUAUAGAUUAUAACCAUACGUAUUGUCUUACAUUACACACAUUUACAAUCCAAAGUUUCAUUAUCUAUAUGACUAAAAAUGAAAACUGGAUUUUGUGGGAAUUUCGUAGAUCACCCAGUUCCAAUUUCCCAUUUACUCAACAGUGCAAAUAGCUUACAUUCAAAUGCAUGUUAAGAAAAUAUAUGUCCAAAUAAGUGUCUUACAAGGAAUUCUUAAUUAAUUUUUAGUAUUUAUGCAGCAUUUCUUCAGAUACAUAAAUAUAUUUUACAGUCCCACUCAGUUUUAAGUCUAUCUUUUCAGGAAUUUCCAGGACAUAUCAAUUGUUAUGCAUAUGCACUUCAAACAUGAACUUUCCAUUAACAACAUCAAGGUACCUUGGCUCAACCACUUCUUUCAAAUACAUGUUCAAAGUUGCAUAGAAAUUAAGGGAUCCUUUUCCAAAUGAAAUGAAAUCCAGUAGAGUAGUUUAAAUUAACAUACAUUUUCGUACUAUGGAAUUAAGAUGGGACGAAAGACAUAAUCUAUAUCAGACAUGUUUUAAACAUGACAUGCCAUUGCAAUUUUAAUUUUGGUUCCUGCCAUUCUGGAUAAAGUGAUAAAUGUUUAAUAUGUGGUGGAACUCAUUUCAAAAUGCAAUCUUUUACGAUGGCAUUAACUAUAAAUAAUAUAAGCGUAUGUUCCCCUACCAUUCUUUAAAUUAAUGACAUGUAACUCCAUCAAUGCGUGCUUGUGGUCAUAUCAUCAUCAUCAAAGCCUUAUCCCAAUUAUUUGGGGAUAGUUACAUGAUAAGAUGUCUCAAAUUUUUAUGCUGGCUACCUACCUAAUGCAACUCACCUCCGGCAACCCAUGCUUGUGGUCAUAUAUUCUAUUAAAAUGGGCAUCUACUACAAAUAGUUGCUCAGGUAUCUUUAUGAGGGUACUCCCUCUAUAAUUGCUAGCAGCAGUUAUAGAGGAUGAUUUAGGUAGACACCAACAAGAUUGGUAAACCGAUCUUCCUAUUUUGAACUUUUCACUGUGCAACAGCCAUGCCAAGUCAUCAGCUACACUAUAACGAGUUUUCUUUCACCGACAAUAUUCACACUCUCAAUCUCAUAUAUUGUUAUGCUCUAAGUAUCCCACUGUUACAUUAAGCAGAAUGUUGUUGUCCAGAGUGUUACAUUGGAAGAUUUGAUUAUUGGGACAAACAUAUGCAAGAUUCAUUAAACAGAAGGCUGUUGUCCAGAGUGUCACACAGGAAGAUUUGAUUAUUGGGACAAACAUGUGCAAGAUUCAUUGCGCUAUUCUUUGUGCACUCAAUAUAUUGUUAGUAACAGUGUGCCUUACUGUGACAAACAACUACACUUAUCUAACAUCAAAGGCCAUCAUAAUUUAAAAAACGAUGACCUGUCAACCUAUAUAUCGUGUGGGUGCUGAAGUCAUACUUGAGCUUUGAAAAUGAAAUGGAGUGCUGAAAGUUUUUUUUAUCUGGUUAUGGUGUACAUGGAAAAAAGAACAUGAGCAAAGAUAGACACUUUGAGGUGCAGCAAGCUUCCUCUAGGGUAAAAAAAUGAGUCGUAACCCGGUGGUGGUCCCGCCUAAGCAGGUUGCCAGGAGGGUUGGGUUGGAAACAGUCCCUAACCUUUGGCUUAUACAUAAAGUGGCCGCUCUCAGGACUUGAACGUGAGCUUUUGCACUGGUUACCUGAGCCUUUUACUGUCACGUCAAGUGACGUUCCCUAAGCUUUCUCUAGGUUAGUUUAGGUUAUAUAGAUCCAGAAUGUGAACAUUCCAUUUUAGGUAACCAUGGAAAUGCUAUCAUUAUCAUCGAAGCCAUUUCCCAACUAAUUGGGGUUGGCUGCUCAAAUUUUGGUCCUCCAUUCUACUAUAUUAUGGGUCAUACCCUUAACAAGGUCAUAAAUUCCUAUAUAUUUUCUCACUACUUCCAAUGAUGUCCUUUUGGGCCUACUCUUUGCCAUUUUUUAGUCUUCCACUUGAACUAACUCACACCUCCUAAUAGAUGUUGUACUAGAUCCGUGCUACACAUGGCCAACCCACCUAACUCUACUCUCUCUCAUCUUAUCGCCUAUUGGUACCACACCUAAAUUUUCCUGCACGUAUUCAAUUUGAAUUAUCUCUUCUUGUCUUGCAACUCAUCCAUCUCAACAUCCUUAUCUCCACUACACUCAUUCUAUGAGUAUAUUAUUUUUUUACUGCCAAAGUUUGUCUCACAACUGUCCUAUAGAUCUUGCCCUUUAGCUCCAUCGAUAUGCGGCGAUCACAUAAAAUUCCGGUUGCAAAUCUCCACUUUGCCCAUCCACCUCUAAUUCUAUGUGUCGUCUUCUUCAAUCUCUCCAUUUUCUUGAUAAUCAAUCCUAGAUACUGAAAGUGCGCUCUUUUUUAAUAUUUCAUGGCUAUCAAUCUUACCUACUUCUUUGUCUCUACUCUUAUUAUUGCUAAACUUGUAUUCUAUAUACUCUGCAUUAGUCUGGCUUAUUUUAAAACCUUAAGAUUCUACAGCAUACCUCCAAAAUUCCAACUUUGUAUUGAUGUCAUUUCGAAUCUUAUCGAUCAAAACUAUGUCAUCUGCACACAACAUGCACCACGGUACCUCAUCUUAUAUGUACUUAGUUCAGUUGUCCAUAACUAAGACAAAAAGGUAUGGGUUCAAUGCUGACCCCCAAUGUAGAUCUAUUGUCAUUGAAAAUUCACUCGUCCCUCCAUUAGUUGUCCGUACACUAGUUAACGCUCGAUCAUACAUAUUUCUCACCAAGUCAAUGUAGUGUUUGGAGACUUCUUUUUUUUCCAACGCCCACCAAAUCAAAUAUCAAGGUACUCUAUCAUUAGCUUUCUCUAGAUCAAUAAAGACCAUGUGGAGAUCCUUUCUCUUCGCCUUAAACUUCUCAAUUAGUUUCCUAAGUAAAAAAUAGCCUUGGUUGUUGAUAAGCAUGGAACUGUCAAUAACACAAACAAAUAUCAUGUAAAAGAAUUAAUAAAGUCCAAAGUUUCUAUGUUUCCAAACUUUUAUUAGGCUCUAAAAGUGAUUGUCCAAUUUCUAGUGUACUCCAAUUAUAUUAUGAGAAAUUUCAAAGCUCUUUUAUUUGUAUAAAUAUGCGAUAUUUUAUCAAUUUAUGCUCUCCUAUGGAAUGCCUCUAUGGAAAAUUGGGCGUUAAAUAUAAUGGUAUCAGUAAAUGCGUAUUUAGUGGUUAACAAUAAUUUCUAGGAUUGUUUUAGAAUACAAUGAGCUCUUUCCUUUCUAGGAUUGUUUUAGAAUAUAAUGAGCUUUCUCCCCCAUCUAAAAGCCAUGUUUACAAACCCAGGGUUGGAGAGAGAUUAGACAUAUAGUUUGGUAAAGUAAGAAAGUAUAUACUCAAUUUUUUUUAAAAAAAGUCAAAGACUAAAUGUCUCAGCACCCCACAAUAUCAACCUCAAAAAGCAAAAAAAGAAAAGAAAGGAGAAGAAAAAAGAUCUAGACGCUUAAAAUAACAAAAAAAAGUCUGAAACCUUUGAAAGCACUCAUAAAAGAGGACAUGAUCCUAAAAGGUGUCCAUUGAGGAUUAUUCUACAAGCACGGUUAAUUCAUUUGUAACUGAUCGGUUAUUUUUUUUCCACAAGUAUUCAGUGAUCUCUAGAGCUUUUUUUAUCUUUGAGAUCUUGUAGAUUCCUAGAGAGUAUAAUCCAGGCCCAUAAUUUUCCUUCUUUUUGUUUUUUUUAAUACAAUGAAUCCUAUAUUUCCAUGAUUUGAAUUUCAGAAUCCUUUAAAGUUUCUCCUUUUAUCAGUGGGCUUUUGAGUUUCCUUAGCUUAUUUGAACCCAGUGUCUCUCCCUCCAUGAAAACUCUUGUAUAUUUCAAGCUUAUCAUUGAUUACAAAGUAUUGGUGAACUGAGAGAAUAAGUGAUGAUCAAUAAACAUCAUACAACUCUACAGGUAUAUGAUCAAUUUGUCUAAAUACACUGAAAUCCCAUAAAACACAAGCAGAUUACGGUAACGACUUGAUUAUUAAGUAAAGAUUAACAGAAAAACAAUUCAUAUUAUUUAUUACAAUAAAGAUACAACAUCAAAUACAAAGAUUAUAUAUAAAUCUUACAUGUCUAUUACUUGAUGAUACAUCAAAUCCCAGGAAAAAGAGAAACCAUUUCAAAGUUCAAAAGAGAGUUCACCUACCCAACUGACUUUCAAUGCAAACAAAGAUGACCCAGAUGUUCAAGCAUAUUUGCACUGCACAAAAGGAUUGAAAUCCAUUUUUCUCAGAGAAAGAAAUCGACUCAAUAAUGGAGUGCAAGUUCCAGCAUCGUGAAUAACCAGAUUAUGAAUCCCAUUUCCUUAUGGAAAGUGGCUCUCGUUUUUGGGUCCAUUUUCAAAUUAAAUAAAAUCGAUGUAAGCACUCAAAAAGGGACAGGCUAAAGAUUAGGGAUCAUAACUAGGGUUCUGAGGAACGAGCCUCGAGGUAUGAAUAAGUAUAUUAUAUGUUUCACUAAAUAUGUUACUUUGUAUUUUGUUCUUAAUUUCUUAUGGUUUAAACCCUGG